rnacentral:rRNA from 1 species
GACGAACGCUGGCGGCGUGCUUAACACAUGCAAGUCGAACGGAAAGGCCCUGCUUUUGUGGGGUGCUCGAGUGGCGAACGGGUGAGUAACACGUGAGUAACCUGCCCUUGACUUUGGGAUAACUUCAGGAAACUGGGGCUAAUACCGGAUCGGAGCUCCUGCUGCAUGGUGGGGGUUGGAAAGUUUCGGCGGUUGGGGAUGGACUCGCGGCUUAUCAGCUUGUUGGUGGGGUAGUGGCUUACCAAGGCUUUGACGGGUAGCCGGCCUGAGAGGGUGACCGGCCACAUUGGGACUGAGAGACGGCCCAGACUCCUACGGGAGGCAGCAGUGGGGAAUAUUGCACAAUGGGCGGAAGCCUGAUGCAGCAACGCCGCGUGCGGGAUGACGGCCUUCGGGUUAUAAACCGCUUUCGCCUGUGACGAAGCGUGAGUGACGGUAAUGGGUAAAGAAGCACCGGCUAACUACGUG